rnacentral:rRNA from 1 species
GUACACGCUGUGACUAGCAUAUUAAUAAGCGGAGGAAAAGAAACUAACAAGGAUUCCCUUAGUAACGGCGAGUGAAGCGGGAAGAGCUCAAAUUUGAAAUCUUGAAAGGUCACCUUUCACGAAUUGUAGUUUAAAGAAGUGUUUUCUGUUACGAUCGUAAUAUAAGUUCUUUGGAAUAGGACAUCACAGAGGGUGAGAAUCCCGUCUAUGAUUGCGAUUUGUAGCUUUGUGAUACACUUUCAAAGAGUCGGGUUGUUUGGGAAUGCAGCCCAAAACGGGAGGUAAAUUUCUUCUAAGGCUAAAUAUUGGCGAGAGACCGAUAGCGAACAAGUACCGUGAGGGAAAGAUGAAAAGAACUUUGAAAAGAGAGUUAAACUAGUACGUGAAAUUGUCAAAAGGGAAGCGUUUAACACCAGUGUUGUUUUCUGAAAAUCAACCUCUGUUAGCUUUAUGCAUGUUUGUUUAGACCUAAUCAGCUAUCUUGCAUGUUCUAUUGUUUGCAGUGGUGCACUUUUCAGUUUACAGGUCAACAUCAGUUUUUUUUACCGUAAAAAAGUUAAAGAAAGGUAGCUCAUGGCUCCGGUCGUGAGUGUUAUAGUCUUUUUCCUAUGCGGUAGGAGAGACUGAGGUCUGCAGUGUAGGCUAUUUGGCUAGAUACUCAGGUGCUAUGUGAUACCAUUUCAUAAACAACUUGUUGAUUAUGUUUUGUCUAUUGCAUACUCGCUUGUACUAUCAUACCUACGCUUAGGAUGUUGACGCAUGAGAUAUACGC